rnacentral:rRNA from 1 species
UUAAGCGACUAAGCGUACACGGUGGAUGCCCUGGCAGUCAGAGGCGAUGAAGGACGUGCUAAUCUGCGAAAAGCGUCGGUAAGGUGAUAUGAACCGUUAUAGCCGGCGAUGUCCGAAUGGGGAAACCCAGUGCAAUUCGUUGCACUAUCGUUAACUGAAUACAUAGGUUAACGAGGCGAACCGGGGGAACUGAAACAUCUAAGUACCCCGAGGAAAAGAAAUCAACCGAGAUUCCCCCAGUAGCGGCGAGCGAACGGGGAGCAGCCCAGAGUCUGAAUCAGCUUGUGUGUUAGUGGAACGGUCUGGAAAGUCCGACGGUACAGGGUGAUAGUCCCGUACACCAAAAUGCACAGGUUGUGAACUCGAAGAGUAGGGCGGGACACGUGGUAUCCUGUCUGAAUAUGGGGGGACCAUCCUCCAAGGCUAAAUACUCCUGACUGACCGAUAGUGAACCAGUACCGUGAGGGAAAGGCGAAAAGAACCCCGGCGAGGGGAGUGAAAAAGAACCUGAAACCGUGUACGUACAAGCAGUGGGAGCACCUUCGGGUGUGACUGCGUACCUUUGUAUAAUGGGUCAGCGACUUAUAUUCUGUAGCAAGGUUAACCGUAUAGGGGAGCCGCAGGAAACCGAGUCUUAACUGGGCGUUAAGUUGCAGGGUAUAGACCCGAAACCCGGUGAUCUAGCCAUGGGCAGGUUGAAGGUUGGGUAACACUAACUGGAGGACCGAACCGACUAAUGUUGAAAAAUUAGCGGAUGACUUGUGGCUGGGGGUGAAAGGCCAAUCAAACCGGGAGAUAGCUGGUUCUCCCGAAAGCUAUUUAGGUAGCGCCUCGUGAACUCAUCUUCGGGGUAGAGCACUGUUUCGGCUAGGGGUCAUCCCGACUUACCAACCCGAUGCAAACUACGAAUACCGAAGAAUGUUAUCACGGGAGACACACGGCGGGUGCUAACGUCCGUCGUGAAGAGGGAAACAACCCAGACCGCCAGCUAAGGUCCCAAAGUCAUGGUUAAGUGGAAACGAUGUGGGAAGGCACAGACAGCCGGAUGUUGGCUUAGAAGCAGCCAUCAUUUAAAGAAAGCGUAAUAGCUCACUGGUCGAGUCGGCCUGCGCGGAAGAUGUAACGGGCUAAACCAUGCACCGAAGCUGCGGCAGCGACACUAUGUGUUGUUGGGUAGGGGAGCGUUCUGUAAGCCUGCGAAGGUGACCUGUGAGGGUUGCUGGAGGUAUCAGAAGUGCGAAUGCUGACAUAAGUAACGAUAAAGCGGGUGAAAAGCCCGCUCGCCGGAAGACCAAGGGUUCCUGUCCAACGUUAAUCGGGGCAGGGUGAGUCGACCCCUAAGGCGAGGCCGAAAGGCGUAGUCGAUGGGAAACAGGUUAAUAUUCCUGUACUUGGUGUUACUGCGAAGGGGACGGAGAAGGCUAUGUUAGCCGGGCGACGGUUGUCCCGGUUUAAGCAUGUAGGCUGGUUGUCCAGGCAAAUCCGGAUAAUCAAGGCUGAGGUGUGAUGACGAGGCACUACGGUGCUGAAGUAACAAAUGCCCUGCUUCCAGGAAAAGCCUCUAAGCAUCAGGUAACAUUAAAUCGUACCCCAAACCGACACAGGUGGUCAGGUAGAGAAUACCAAGGCGCUUGAGAGAACUCGGGUGAAGGAACUAGGCAAAAUGGUGCCGUAACUUCGGGAGAAGGCACGCUGGUGUGGGUGAAGCCCCUGCGGGUGGAGCUGAGACCAGUCGAAGAUACCAGCUGGCUGCAACUGUUUAUUAAAACACAGCACUGUGCAAACACGAAAGUGGACGUAUACGGUGUGACGCCUGCCCGGUGCCGGAAGGUUAAUUGAUGGGGUUAUCCGUAAGGAGAAGCUCUUGAUCGAAGCCCGGUAAACGGCGGCCGUAACUAUAACGGUCCUAAGGUAGCGAAAUUCCUUGUCGGGUAAGUUCCGACCUGCACGAAUGGCGUAAUGAUGGCCAGGCUGUCUCCACCCGAGACUCAGUGAAAUUGAACUCGCUGUGAAGAUGCAGUGUACCCGCGGCAAGACGGAAAGACCCCGUGAACCUUUACUAUAGCUUGACACUGAACAUUGAGCCUUGAUGUGUAGGAUAGGUGGGAGGCUUUGAAGCGUGGACGCCAGUCUGCGUGGAGCCAACCUUGAAAUACCACCCUUUAAUGUUUGAUGUUCUAACGUUGGCCCCUUACCGGGGUUGCGGACAGUGUCUGGUGGGUAGUUUGACUGGGGCGGUCUCCUCCCAAAGCGUAACGGAGGAGCACGAAGGUUAGCUAAUCGGUCGGACAUCAGGAGGUUAGUGCAAUGGCAUAAGCUAGCUUGACUGCGAGCGUGACGGCGCGAGCAGGUGCGAAAGCAGGUCAUAGUGAUCCGGUGGUUCUGAAUGGAAGGGCCAUCGCUCAACGGAUAAAAGGUACUCCGGGGAUAACAGGCUGAUACCGCCCAAGAGUUCAUAUCGACGGCGGUGUUUGGCACCUCGAUGUCGGCUCAUCACAUCCCGGGCUGAAGUAGGUCCCAAGGGUAUGGCUGUUCGCCAUUUAAAGUGGUACGCGAGCUGGGUUUAGAACGUCGUGAGACAGUUCGGUCCCUAUCUGCCGUGGGCGCUGGAGAAUUGAGGGGGGCUGCUCCUAGUACGAGAGGACCGGAGUGGACGCAUCACUGGUGUUCGGGUUGUCAUGCCAAUGGCACUGCCCGGUAGCUAAAUGCGGAAGAGAUAAGUGCUGAAAGCAUCUAAGCACGAAACUUGCCCCGAGAUGAGUUCUCCCUGAGACUUUAAGUCUCCUGAAGGAACGUUAAAGACGAUGACGUUGAUAGGCCGGGUGUGUAAGCGCAGCGAUGCGUUGAGCUAACCGGUACUAAUGAACCGUGAGGCUUAACCU